rnacentral:rRNA from 1 species
UACGGGGGGAGCAAGCGUUGUUCGGAUUUACUGGGCGUAAAGGGCGCGUAGGCGGCCACCGCAAGUCGACUGUGAAAUCUCCGGGCUUAACCCGGAAAGGUCAGCCGAUACUGCGGGGCUAGAGUGCAGAAGGGGCAACUGGAAUUCUCGGUGUAGCGGUGAAAUGCGUAGAUAUCGAGAGGAACACCUGCGGCGAAGGCGGCUCACUGGCCCGGUACUGACGCUGAGGUGCGAAAGCCAGGGGAGCAAACGGG